rnacentral:rRNA from 1 species
UACAGAGGUCUCAAGCGUUGUUCGGCUUCAUUGGGCGUAAAGGGUGCGUAGGCGGCGUCGUAAGUCGGGUGUGAAAUCUCGGGGCUCAACUCCGAAAUUGCAUUCGAUACUGCGGUGCUUGAGGACUGGAGAGGAGACUGGAAUUCCCGGUGUAGCGGUGAAAUGCGCAGAUAUCGGGAGGAACACCCGUAGCGAAGGCGGCACUCUGGGCCGGUACUGACGCUGAGGAGCGAAAGCGUGGGGAGCAAACAGG